rnacentral:rRNA from 1 species
AUUGAACGCUGGCGGAAUGCUUUACACAUGCAAGUCGAACGAUGAACCUUAGCUUGCUAAGGGGAUUAGUGGCGAACGGGUGAGUAAUGUAUCGGAACGUAUCCAAUAAUGGGGGAUAACUAGUCGAAAGAUUAGCUAAUACCGCAUACGUCCUACGGGAGAAAGCUAGGGACCUUCGGGCCUGGCGUUAAUGGAGCGGCCGAUAUCUGAUUAGCUAGUUGGUGGGGUAAAGGCUCACCAAGGCGACGAUCAGUAGCUGGUCUGAGGGGACGACCAGCCACACUGGAACUGAGACACGGUCCAGACUCCUACGGGAGGCAGCAGUGGGGAAUUUAGGACAAUGGGCGAAAGCCUGAUCCAGCCAUUCCGCGUGAGUGAAGAAGGCCUUCGGGUUGUAAAGCUCUUUCGCAAGGGAAGAAAACUUAAGCUCUAACAUAGCUUGAGGUUGACGGUACCUUGAUAAGAAGCACCGGCUAACUACGUGCCAGCCGCCGCCGUAA